rnacentral:rRNA from 1 species
AUGAUUCUCGGGCCGUUACAUCUCUCCCUCACGCAGGCACACACCCAACAUCGCCAUGGACUAGUAGCUCAAGCAUUCUUCUUCCUGAUGGUGAUGGGGUUCCCUCACCAUCUUCAGGUCGUCAUCCUUGAGGCCUCCACCAUCUGCAUUGUCUACAGUGGACUGUUUGCACCUUCUGUGCAAAUACUUGAUUGUAUAUGA